AACGCACAUUGCGCCCCUUGGUAUUCCAUGGGGCAUGCCUGUUCGAGCGUCAUCUACACCCUCAAGCUCUGCUUGGUGUUGGGCGUCUGUCCCGCCUCUGCGCGCGGACUCGCCUCAAAAUCAUUGGCAGCGGUCCUUGCCUCCUCUCGCGCAGCACAUUGCGCUUCUCGAGGGGCGUGGGUCGCGUCCACGAAGCAACAUUACCGUCUUUGACCUCGGAUCAGGUAGGGAUACCCGCUGAACUUAA
rnacentral:misc_RNA from 1 species